rnacentral:rRNA from 1 species
GGACUACUGGGGUAUCUAAUCCUGUUUGCUCCCCACGCUUUCGUGCCUCAGUGUCAGGAAAGGCCCAGCCGGGCGUCUUCACCAUCGGCGUUCCAGUAGAUAUCUACGCAUUUCACCGCUCCACCUACUGUUCCCCCGGCGCUUACCUUCCUCAAGACCAGCAGUAUGCCCCGCAGUUCCCCGGUUGAGCCGGGGGAUUUCACAAAGCACUUGCUGGCCCACCUACGCACCCUUUAAGCCCAGUAAUUCCGAUUAACGCUCGAGACCCCUGUCUUACCGCGGCUGCUGGCAC